rnacentral:rRNA from 1 species
CGGGUGAGUAAUGUAUGGGGAUCUGCCUGAUGGCGGGGGAUAACUACUAGAAACGGUAGCUAAUACCGCAUAAUGUCUACGGACCAAAGCGGGGGACCUCCGGGCCUCGCGCCAUCAGAUGAACCCAUAUGGGAUUAGCUAGUAGGUGAGGUAACGGCUUACCUAGGCGACGAUCCCUAGCUGGUCUGAGAGGAUGAUCAGCCACACUGGGACUGAGACACGGCCCAG